rnacentral:rRNA from 1 species
UACGUAGGGGGCAAGCGUUGUCCGGAUUUAUUGGGCGUAAAGAGCGUGUAGGCGGCCAGAUAGGUCGGUUGUGAAAACUGGAGGCUUAACCUUCAGACGUCGACCGAAACCAUUUGGCUAGAGUCCGGAAGAGGAGAAUGGAAUUCCUGGUGUAGCGGUGAAAUGCGCAGAUAUCAGGAAGAACACCCGUGGCUAAGGCGGUUCUCUAGUACGGUACUGACGCUGAGACGCGAAAGCGUGGGGAGCAAACAGG